rnacentral:tRNA from 1 species
AGUACUUAAGCAUUCAGCUAUUAACUGAAAGGUUGGUGGUUCGAACCCACCAGCUACUC